CUUCUUCAUUCCUAUAGUUAAAGAAAAAACUAUAAGAUCCGUGCAAUAUGAAGAAAAAAAAAUGCACUUGGACAUAUCUACUGUUUUUUUGUUGGAUAAUCAAAAAUAGUUCCACUUUUAAAAAACUAAAGACAUGUUUUAUUUUGUAACGCGUUUGUUACAUUUAUUUGUUACAUUUAUUUGUUACAUUUAUUUGUUACNNNNNNNNNNAUUUAUUUGUUACAUUUAUUUGUUACAUUUAUUUGUUACAUUUAUUUAUUAUAGUUGUUUGUUACAGCUAUUUGUAAUAUAUGCUUUUUUUUGCUUUUUUUUUUUUUUUAUUCGCUUAUAGAAAGUGUUACAUUAAGCUUGCUUUUGAUAAAUUUCUUAUUUUUACACAACCUUGUAUAUGUAAGAAACCACUGUAAAAGUAAUUAUAUAUAUUUUCCACUUCUGCAUUUUUUUUAUUUCUAUUUUUAGUAAUGUAUAUAUAUACAUGCACCGUUUGUCUUUCUUAGCUAUGUUACGCUUUAUUAAAAAAAAAAAAAAGAUAUAAAUUUACAAUUGCAUGAGCUUAAAAAUUCCCAUUUUUGUCUUAUUUUUACACAAUAUUAGAAUUUUUUUUUUUUUUUACUUGGUUGAUUUAAUUUGAUUUUAUUUAUUUUUUUUUUUUUGUUUUAUAAAUAGAACAAAUAACAAUUAUACUUUUUGUUUUUUUGCUAAUUUAUUGUUUUGUUAAUUUACUGUUUUUAUUUUUGUUCUAUCCACAUUGUGUAUUUUUUGGAGGACAAAACAUGCAAAGGUGAAUGCUCAACUUAAUCACUUAAACCGUUGCACAUGUUGUAAACAGAUGUAUAUAUAUAUAUACUUACAUGUUUUAUAUACACACGUGUUUAUAUAUGGACUGGGCUGUAUGCCGCAUUGUUAAUUAACACAAUCUGCUUCAAUAAAUAAUCCGUUUCAACAAUCUGCUUCAGCAAUAUGCUUUAAAAAUGUAAAAACAAUCCCGAAUAUGAAAAUGCAUUACUUAACUUUUGUUUUGAUUCUAAUCAGCUGCUACUUAUUUAAGGGCAUAAAUAAUAGCCCUUUUAUUUCUGAUAUGAAAAUGUUAGAAAUGAUAAAAGAUAAUUUUGUGGAAACAAAGAGUUCAGAGAUUUUUAAUUUUUCUUUUUUUUAUUUAUAUAAUGCUUUAAAAUGUACUUUAACUGAACCAGUUUUUGUUUCUUAUAGUGAUGAUAAAUACCAAAAAGAAAUAAUUAUUAUUAAAAACAAAUUAAUAAAACUUAAGGAUCAAAAACAUAAUAGGAACUUAUGGGUUUUUUGGGAGUCUGAUUUGUUAGAUUUGUUAAUAUUGAAUAUCCAGAAAAUCGAAAAAAAUAUGAGAAAUAAUGGAGAUGGCUUUAUAGCAAUUUAUGAACAAUUAAAAAUGUCUGAUCCGAAUUUUAACAAUAUUACUGUUUUAUCUUUAAAUAUAUGUACCCAUCCAAUUUUUUCUAUUGAAGAAGUUGCCAUUUAUUUAACUAUCUUACCAUUUAUAUUGGAUAAACUAACCAUUUCUGCACCUGACUACAACUUAGAAUUAAAAUCUGUUUUUCAAAAAAGUUUAAACUUUUUUAAUUUUUAUAUGUCUUUAACAAAUGAACAUAAUAUGUAUAUUUAUAAUAUGAAUCAUAAAGAGAUACAUGUUUUUUUAAAAGUUUAUGAUAAAUAUGAUUUUAAACCUAUGAACGAAGAAAAUAAUUUAAAUUUGUAUGAUGAACUAUAUUUGAAAAAUAAAUAUGGUAAAAUUUUAAUCAAUAAUUUAUUUAUUUUAUAUUAUAAUAUAUUUUUUAUAACACCAAAUGAAAAGUUAUAUUAUUUUAAUUAUAUUGAUAUAAUACCUAUAUAUGUUAGAACAAAUAAUGAAAUGUUAAAAUCGAAGUAUUAUAAUGUAGAAAAUCCUUAUUAUACCCUAAUUGAAAAUACAUAUAAAAAUAACUUAAAAGUAAAUGAAUCAAUUAUAUUAGUAAAAAUAUUUAACAACGACACUGCUAUUGAAAUUAAUAGUAAUCACCGGGAAAGUAGUGCUAGUGCUAGUGGUAGUAGUAGUAGUGGUAUUAGGAGUGGUAGUAGUAGUGCUAGUAGUAGUGCUAGUGGUAGUGCUAGUGGUAGUAGUAGUGGUAUUAGGAGUGGUAUUAGGAGUGNNNNNNNNNNUAGGAGUGGUAUUAGGAGUGGUAGUAGUAGUGCUAGUGGUAGUGCUAGUGGUAGUAGUAGUAGUAGUAGUAGUGGUAUUAGGAGUGGUAGUAGGAGUGGUAGUAGGAGUGGUAGUAGUAGUGGUAGUAGUAGUAGUGGUAGCAGUACUAUUACCAGUACCAGUACCAAUUGUAAUAAUAAUGGCAGUGAUGGGGAUAGUAAAGAACGUUGUCAUAAUAGUAAAAAUGUAAAAACGCCCUAUUACUUAAGAGCUAAAAUUAUUUAUAGAACACUUAUAAAUACUGUAAAUGAUUAUUCUUCACUUGAAAAUGGCAUAAAAUUUACUUUUCUUCACUCUCAAAGUAUGGAUGACACAAUUAUGUCAUCGUCAAUUGAAGACGUAGCAUUAGUUAUGAUUGUGUUAGUAGACAUAAAUUUAAAAAGUAAUGUUUUAUUAAAAAACAUAAAUAAUUUAAUAUAUUCAAAUAAUAUUGAUCAAGAAGAUAAACAAAGUAUUAAUAAUAGAGUAACUAUAUUAGGCUCUUGUAUUUACAACAAUAACACAAAAACACCAAUAUAUACGGGUUUCUUUGAUAGAGGGAUUAGCGCUUUAAAUCUAAAUAAUAUUUUAAAACAUUUAACAUUUACAACAAAAAUGUUUUAUAUUUCAAUUGGGAGUAUGGAAAAGAAUGACAAAAUGAGAGCGGAUGUUAUAGCUACACGAAUUAUGAGUAACUACAAUAAUUUGUACAACGUCUUAGUUCUUUUUGAAAAAUAUGAGCUUUUAAAAUAUGAUAAGAUUGCAAAUAUAAACAGAUGUGAAGCUUGCUUAAUUGGUUACAAGGGAUUAUAUACUUUGUACGCUUCCAUAUGUAUACCAAUUAUAAUAAGUUUACUUAUUUGUUAUUAUAUAUAUAAAAGAAAAAAAAAAAAAAAAAAAAACAAAGUAAAUAAUAAGACUAUUCCAAUUUCUUCAAUUAACGAAUCAGUAAUUGAACCAGACAUUAUGCCAUUAAAGUUAUAAUUUUUUUUUUUUUUUUUUUUUUUUUUUACACCAAUUUAUUGUAUAUUUUUCAGUUUGCGCAUAUAUAUUUACAAUGUAUAUAGGGUUUAAUUCUUAGUGUUUACAUAUACACAUUGUGUGUUUACAUACAUUAUGUAAGUAUAUAUACACUGUGUGUGUGUGUGUGUUUUUGUGCGUAGACCUGUCUGAUUGCAUUUUGGUUUACUUUAUAAAUAUUGAUAUUUAUAUUUUUUGAAAAACUCUGUUUUUAUCCCCAUUUUCUUUAUUUUUUUUUUUUUUUUUUUUUUGCAUAUUAUACUUAAACGUAGUCAAUUUAUUUGUGUAUUAUACAUAUGUUAUAAAAUUAUUGCAACAAUAUUUUUUUUUUUAUUCCAACUAUGAUUUAUGUAUGACGUUUUUUUUAAUAUGUUUAAUAUUUUUAACACGCUUCUCAUUUUCAAAUACUUAAUAUUUUCGUAUUUUUAUAUAUAUUUUUUUUCUUUUAUUUUUUAUUAUACACAUAAAAUAUGCACUGUAUAAAUGUUUGGACAUAAAAAAAAAAAGAAAUAAUUUGUAAAUUACAUCUUAACAACAGUUUUUAAAUGUUAGGAGAAAAAAAAAAAAAAAAAAAAAAAAAAAAAAAAAAAAAAAAAANNNNNNNNNNNNNNNNNNNNNNNNNNNNNNNNNNNNNNNNNNNNNNNNNNNNNNNNNNNNNNNNNNNNNNNNNNNNNNNNNNNNNNNNNNNNNNNNNNNNUAAUCUUUUACAUAGUAAAACACACACGAUUAAACAUGUGUGUGUUUUACUAUGUAAAAGAUUAUUUUACUCAUUUCAGUUGUUAGGGUCAUUACUGUUGUUGUUAAUUUCAUAACUUAUAUAUUUUUGCAUAUUUUUUAUCAUUCUUUUUUUGUACUUUUUUUUGUACUUUUUUUUGUACUUUUUUUUUAACAAUUUGAUUUACAGAAGAUAGCAAGUUUUAUAAAAAGUUAUACACCUUUUUAGCAUCAAGGGGCAAAUACAUUAACUUAUUAAUAAAAUGUAAAUCGGAAGAUGUGAGUAAAGGUAA
ensembl:lncRNA